rnacentral:misc_RNA from 1 species
CACGUGUAAAAGUUUUGGCAGUAUGCUCUAAACAGCGAUAAUUUUACCUCUUCAUUACUACAAGCAAAUCUGCGGGCCAAUAUAUUGCCUCGGACCGAUAGCGGCCUUCGCUAUAACGCCUCUCUAUAUCACCGUCGUCCACGAGGUGCUCGUUAACUAUAUGGCCGAGAUACUUGAACUCAGCCACCUGUUUCAGGGGAGAUCCACACAAUCGUAUGAUGGGCUGAAAAUUGGUAGUAAUUUGCGAAAAUAAAAACUUUUGACUUGUACCUUUUUUCAUAUUUAAGUGUUUUAAUUAUGUGCUUAAUGUUACUUGUGCAUUUAAAUCACUGAUCAUAGCACAAUAUUCCUAAAACAAAAGAAGACGAACAUUUUAGAUUUAUUAUAUUUUGUUAUCACUCGUCUAUUCACAUAAUUUACCUGAAUUUUACCAGUUUACGAAAGUUUUACGUCCAAAUGGAUAUUACUCUAGUACUCCAGAUAAAUAAGUAAUCACGAAAAAUAUUUUAAAAGCAUUUAAAUCACGAAGUACGAAAAAUAAUAUUGAAUAUUAGUGAUUGAUUACUGACAAAGGGGUACAACUUGACAAAUAUCGAUUUCCACGAUUUUCUUAACAGUUACCAUAUCAUUUUGGAAAAAAAAAAUUCCGUUACUAUAGCAGAUAGAUAGAAGAAUUUGAAUUUGACUAAAAAAAUCAUUAUUUUUCUGAUUGUAUAUGAUAUUUCCGUUAAAAUCACAAAAAGGGUACACUCGAUUUGAAAUAAGAUCAAUCACAUCACAGGAAACAGAAUUCAAUUGUAAUAA